CUUCAAGAAAGGAGCAGAAUGCUGAAGAUGAUGCCAGAAUUAAGCCAAGUUCCUGGCUUCUCCCAAGACCUUCAAGGACCCAAUUGACCUCGGAAUCAUCUGUAAAGGAGGAUGAAACCGAUUUCUAAGAAUGGGACAGCGAUAUUGCAUCAAUUGGUCUCCUACUUCAUUUGAUUCCACCAUCACCACAAGGCUGCAAGGGACCUGGAAAAAUGUCGUCCUAUCAAGCUGAAAAACAUCUUCAAAAAGGCACCAACAAGAAGAACAGCUUGAUUGCAUAGAAGAGACCACACAGCCAUACCUGCUCGCUGAUGGGACAACGAGGAACAUCAUUCAUGGAUGCUACACAACUGUCAAAUCUACCUGUCAUAUUUGUUCAUGUCUAGGUAAAUUUGAUGAUUUUGUGUUUUAUUAACUAUUUUAUGUUUCUGUGCAACACUUAAUGAAUGUGACUGACUAAUUAACCUCUACACAUCAGAUAUAUGUUUUAAAGUUGCCACUU